UUUAUGAAGAUUUUAAUUUUCGGCUUUUGUCAUUGGAUAUUAUAUUAUAAUUAUGAAGAGUUUGCAAGACAAUGAAUUAUGUCAAAAUUGUUUAAACAAGCAUGUAUGACUGUAAAAUUUAUACAACUGCUGCAAGAUGUGUGUUUUCACAAAGUAGUUGAAGUACUCACUGUUAGGUUUAUAUUUUAUUGUUUAAUGAUGUAUGAUCAAAUUUUUUGUACAGUUAAAUCAAUUGAAGCAUAGCGAGUUCAACACUGUAACUUGUCUAAAUCUUCAAUUCUUAACACUACCAUUUCUAUUAGUAUAAGCACUUGUCAAUAUUAUCUUAUUUUGUAAACUGCUUGUAAGCGGUAUAUUAAUUGCUUUUUGGUGAUGUGUUGUAAAAUCUACAUAACAGUAACAUACUUGCCAGUCAGGAUAUCCAUCAAGUCUGAUUUUGUGUUAUGCAUAUUUCAAAAAGUGUUAGUCCUAGAGUCAUGAAACAUUCUAUAGGAUUCUUAUCCAGCAUGUGAUAUUGUGCACCUGGACUUUAGUGUGUGAUUUCACUCACCCAGAGUUAUUGCCCUUUACAUAGUCAAUAAUAUGCAUAAAGGGCCUAUUUGACGUGCAAGGUGACUAGAAAAUCUUUUUUAAUUUAUUUUAGCUCGACUAUACAAAGUACAAAAGUAUAUGGAGAGCUAUCCUACCCACUCCGGUGCCGGCAUCUUUCCAUGUCCCCACCUUGGUUAAAGUUUAAACACUCUUUUUUUCUCCUUAUCUCUGUAAUAACUUGAUGGAUUUGCUUUAAACUAAAAAUAGUUAUUCCUCCUCAUCACCCACAUCAUAUGUCACAAGGGUCAUAACUCUCACACCAAUAUUUCAUUAAUUAUCCCCCCCUUUUUACUUAGAAUUUAAGAUUAAAGUUUUGAUGCACUUUCACUCUAUCUCAGUUAUUCCUAAAUGGAUUUGAUUCAGACUGAAAGUAGUUGUUUCACAUCAUCUACCACAUCAUAUGACUCAAGGUCCAUAACCCUAGUACCAAUAUUUAAUGAAUUAUCCCACUUUUACCUAGAAGUUCAGGUUAAAGUUUUGAUGCACUUUCAUUAUAUCUCAGUUAUUAUUAAAUGGAUUUGAUUCAAACUUAUAAUAGUUGUUCAACAUCCUCACUCAAUCAUGACACAAGGGCCAUAACUCUUGCACCAAUAUUUCAUGAAUUAUCCCCCCUUUUUACUUAGAAUUUCAAGUUAAAGUUUUGAUACACUUUCACUCUAUCUCAGUUAUUACUAAAUGGAUUUGAUUCAAACUUAAAAUUGAUGUUCCACCUUAUCACCCACAUCAUAUGACACAAGGUGCAUACCUCUGGCACCAAUGUUUCAUGAAUUAUGCCCCAAUUUACUCAGAAUUUAAGGUUAUUUUGAUGCAUUUUUCACUAUAUCUCAGUUAUUACAAAGUGCAUUUGAUUCAAACUUGAAGUAGUUGUCCCACAUCAUCACCCUCAUCAUAUGACACAAGGUACAUAACUCUUGCACAAAUAUUUUAUGAAUUAUACUUACAUUUGUAUAUAGUUUUUUAAUACACUUUAUCUUUACCUCUCUUAUUUCCUAAUAUUUUUGACACAGACUCAAGCUGUUGUGUAAUAUCUUCAUCCACCAUUGGAGUCAUUAAAAACGCCAGUGACAACUCCAGUUUCCUCAGGUGUGCCCAGUUUCACUAUCCAGCAUCGAAAUAGUCGAGCGCGCUGUCUCCUGUGACAGCUCUUGUUAAGUUACCUAUAAUAAUGUUAUCUUAGUUCUUUGUAAUGAGAAACUGGGUUUCAGUGCCAAGCAAUAUUGCUUCAAUAUGUCAGAAAACUCCCUUCCAGUGAUUGGUUUAAUGAUGGUUAAUUGUCAUAAGAUGAUUGCCUGGUCACUAGGUCAAAGUUCAAGUUCACAGCUGCCUGGUCACUAGGUCAAAAGUCAAGGUCACAGCUGCCUGGUUACUAGGCCCUUGAGACUGAAAAUAGUUUUGUUUAAUAACCAAUGAAUGCCAUACCCUACAGUAGAGAAACUAGGGAUAUGGAGGACAAAGGCAGAGGUCACAGUGACCUUUAAGAUUUAAAAUUGUUUCUACUCAAUAAAUAAAGAAAUAUUUUUCCUUCAGCAAUCAGACUUAAUAGGAUGUUUACCUGUGGUCAGUAGAUGACCCCAGUUUUGGAUGGUCAGUAGGUCAAAGUUCAAAGUCACGGUGACCUCUGGACUGAAAACAGUUUCCACUUAAUAACUAAAAACAACUUUGGCCUAUAUUUUGUGAGACUUCAUACAAUGGUUACCUGUGGUCAAUAGAUGAGCUCUGCUGUUUUGGGGUCAGUAGUUAAGAGAACGUUUCAUCUGUCAAACUUCUUAAAAUGAUUACCUGUGGUCAAGAGUUGACCUGUGCUUUUUUGAAGUUAUUUUGUGUAAGGUCAAGGUCAAAGCAUACAAAAUUCAACAGGUCGUCGGGGACGAUAUGUGUUUUACAAAAAGUAUAUUUGUUUAGAUGAACAUUUUUGGAAAAAAUGUGGGUUCUUAUGCUCUGGCGUAGUCACUGUUUACAUAAACUAUGAAGUUCUAACUUGAAGCCCUGACUUGCCGUAGGUGUAUAACUGAAUGAUGCAGGCACAAUAGUGUUACUGAGAGAAAAUUGACUUGUUUCUUGAUAUUCAGCUGACAACUGUAAUAAAGUUAUGACACAGA